GCCCGGAUAGCUCUGUCAUUAGAGCAUAAGGCUUUUAACCUAAAGGACUAGGGUUCCCGUCCCUGUUCGGGCG